GUCUGUGCAGCACCUGAAGAACAGGUUUGGUGAUGGAUACACCAUCAUCCUUCGUUUGGCAGACACCAAAUCGGACCCUGACUCGUGUCCCGUCAGCGCCUACAUGAAGGAGUGUUUUGCGAUACCCGAUCUGCCAAAUCCCACUUUAAAGCUUGGUCGUAAUUAAACAAGACUUGGGCAUUUUGCAGUCCCUUCGUCAUCCAUGGUCUUCCUGUAUACUUAUCUUUCCUGUUGACUUCAAUGAGUAGGCUGUUUUUCUCUAAUAAGGCCAUGAAUAUGCUUAAGAAUGCCUCAUAGGCUUUAUUGACAUCCUUGUGUUUAUAUACAAUAGUCCAAUCUUGUUUUAUUAACUCAUUUUUAAGACACUGCAUUGUCUUUUCUGUUCUAAUUGUUUUAUAUAUCGUCUUACAUUCAUUUCUGUGAACUUUAUAGCAACAGUCAUAAGUUACAAAAACUGGUAAGUGGUCACUUAUAUCAUUUAUCAAUAUCCCGCCUUUUAUAUUUUCUUCCAUUACAUUUGUAAAAAUAUUAUCUAAUAGAGUUGCACCAUGAGUGGUUAUUCU
ensembl:lncRNA